GUUUCUAUACAUACUGCCUUCGCAGGAGUUUGAUCUCUGUAUGAAAGCUGCAAAAUGUACUCCAACAAAGCAUAGUUUAAGAAUGUACAAGAAGCAACAUCAUUCUUGUCACUUUUUUAUAUCUUCUUUUUCUUUAAUUCCAUUAUGCUUCGUUCUAAAAUUUUGCCCUGAGAAAAACAAAUACUUGAUCCUCAUCAGGAAAAGAGAAAAGAUGUCACUGAACCUCUUCAUAACUACUGAGUUCCACAACAUGUCUACGAUUCAACUUUGUAACGCUAGUUCUGUGCAUUACACGUCCUGAAAUGCAGACUGCACAUACAAGUGUCCAGGGCACUUAAUCUUCUUUUUUUCUUCUAAAUUACCCCAUAAGAUAUUCUGCAGAGCCAACGUGGGCUUACAAUAAACUGAUUCCCCUUGACACACUGCAUACAUGUAACAUUUGCUUUAUUUUAUUAUCCUGAUCAGCUUUCAAGUCAUAGAAGGAAAAGGUGGAGAAAGACACUCGCAGUCACUUCAUUGCAAGGACAGGUACAUAGACAUGCGGCCACCUGAAAAAGAAGCGUUUCUACUUCGUCUGUCACCGGUCUGGAAGUUAUGCUUCACAAGCUACAAGUAAACAAAAGCUGAAGCGGCCUUCAAGUGUUAAGUGUGGAAAAAGAUGUUUUGCGGCAAUGGCUGUGACUGAAGACAACACAGGUGUGUAUGUGGUUUUCCAAUUCAAGCACAGAGGCCACGACUUUGAACUGGGUCGUGUUUUUCUGUCCAAGUCGGAAAGAGCUGUUAUUGCUGAUAAGAAACCGCUUUUGCUCUGCUUUAUAAUACAUAAAGAGUGGUUGUUGAGUUUUCAACAUCCCAAAUACAAGGCAAUACUCAUGCCAGACCAUGCAAUGAACUUGGAGCACAUGUUAGUGCGUUUGAAAUUCAUGAUUUCCACAUAAUUCGAGGCCACCAAUACUGACUGCAGGGCAUUAUAGUUAAUGACAUCAUAAACAUGUUUAUCAUUUUGCUACAUUGUAUCAAUGCCUGAAGAGUUCAGAGAGAGAGAGAAAAAAGGGAACUGUUCUCCAAUUUCACAGCGGUAACAACUACCUUGGCACAGCCAGUGGCCUAUAUUUGACCUAUAUGGCUAUUCUUAUUGCAGGCAACUACUUUAGUUAUUUUAUACUUGUUUGCAUCACUUCAUGUACCAAGCAGGAAGGUGUAGUGCCUCCUGGUGCACUGUAGGCCACGCAGCAGACUGGCUUUUUCUCUUUCUGCUUUAUUUUUCAGGCUUGCAGUUAACUGGAUUGGUAUGACUUAUGAUCCUAGUGGGAUUCAAUGUCUCAAAAUAGCAGUAAGCUGGAAUAAUUUCCACUUGGGAUUACUUAAGGUGCAUUGUACAUAAUUAUGUCUGCCAUUUUGCCGAAACUGAUGUACAAGUAUUACAGACAUCGAUGAAACUGCGACCUCUCACCACUACUGUAGGUCACCCACAGCAGAUGUGCUUUCCAUGUGAAACUUUCAUCAGCUCAAGUUGUAUUUUAGUCUACUAUAUGUAGGGCUCACAAACCAUGUGCCAUAUUUUCUGGACUAUAAUUUGAACUGUUGUACAAGUCACCCCCUUUCCCCCUCUUUUCACAACUUUCAAAGAAAAAUUAUGUGUAUAUAACUCAAUGUAUAAGAUGCAUCUAUCUUAACUUGGGUCAGCAUCGUGAAAUGCGAUUGUGCAUGUUUAUACACUUAUCCUAAAAUGUCGUACUUGCCCAUUUCAGGGCACUAAACAUCAGUAAAAAAAAAUUUAUGAGCCGCACAUUCUAGCAGGCAAAAUAAACUGCAAGUACAUUGCUGGAGAAAAAGAAUGUCUCAUGUUGGUCUUGCAUAUAUAAGUUACACUGUUGUAUAAUACGCUUGGACGAAAAUGAAAAGCAAAUAGUGGCAUCUAUGGUUUGGAAAAUAUGGUACCUAAAUAUUUUGAAUGCUCAUGAAUCAGCUAUGUGAAUGAAACAUGAUUGAAACGAUCACGAUAAUUAGGCUUAUACCCCUGUCACACGGCAAAUCUAAUGCCAUUUCCAACAAAUGACAUUUCUUGCGAUUAAUGUCAUUAUUACAGCGCGCUGUCACAUGGCGAAAACUGUCAUUUGAAAAUGAUGACAGUGACGAUAGUAAAAAAAAAGACACGCCUCAAACCCACUUUUGUCCAAUAAUUAUUUUCCAAUAUGCUAAAUUCCACUAGAAUAUGUGAUCGUUGCUUUCAAACCGUAGCGUUCGACCACUAACUUGUCGACAUUGCCAACGAAGUCGAGUCGACCUAAGGCAAGCAACAGGGCGAAGAUAACGAUACGUGCGUUCGCUACAUCUGCUAAAGUGGUACGAGAAGGGCAGUUGCAUGUCAUCGCCGUUCUGAUGUGCAUGCGAGCUUCUAAUAUCCUCAUUCUUGGCGCGUGCCACAGGAAAACACGCGCACGCUUUUACGCCAAGUCAAUUGAAGUGGCCGCGGCCGAUGCUCCGGUGAGAACCAACACAACUGCUGCAGCGAAAGCUAAAGACGGCUGUCUGGUCACUGGACUGAGAGUAGUUUUCUGUAUUUACGCACGUGAUGGACUUUAAUGUCGUUAAAGCAAUAAUUAGGCAAUAAAAUGGAUAGAAUAACAGUGAUUUUU
rnacentral:lncRNA from 1 species